CUUUUAGAGAUUGACAGAAGAAAGGGAGCACAUACUGCAAUUAUAUGAACACAUACCUUUGCCGUGCGUGCUCUCUUUUCUUGCUGUCAAUCUCGUAUUA
rnacentral:pre_miRNA from 1 species